rnacentral:rRNA from 1 species
UAAUGCUUGGGAACUUGCCUUUGCGAGGGGGAUAACAGUUGGAAACGACUGCUAAUACCGCAUAAUGUCUUCGGACCAAACGGGGCUUCGGCUCCGGCGCAAAGAGAGGCCCAAGUGAGAUUAGCUAGUUGGUAAGGUAACGGCUUACCAAGGCGACGAUCUCUAGCUGUUCUGAGAGGAAGAUCAGCCACACUGGGACUGAGACACGGCCCAGACUCCUACGGGAGGCAGCAGUGGGGAAUAUUGCACAAUGGGGGAAACCCUGAUGCAGCCAUGCCGCGUGUGUGAAGAAGGCCUUCGGGUUGUAAAGCACUUUCAGUUGUGAGGAAAAGUUAGUAGUUAAUACCUGCUAGCCGUGACGUUAACAACAGAAGAAGCACCGGCUAACUCCGUGCCAGCAGCCGCGGUAAUACGGAGGGUGCGAGCGUUAAUCGGAAUUACUGGGCGUAAAGCGCACGCAGGCGGUUUGUUAAGCUAGAUGUGAAAGCCCCGGGCUCAACCUGGGAUGGUCAUUUAGAACUGGCAGACUAGAGUCUUGGAGAGGGGAGUGGAAUUCCAGGUGUAGCGGUGAAAUGCGUAGAUAUCUGGAGGAACAUCAGUGGCGAAGGCGACUCCCUGGCCAAAGACUGACGCUCAUGUGCGAAAGUGUGGGUAGCGAACAGGAUUAGAUACCCUGGUAGUCCACACCGUAAACGCUGUCUACUAGCUGUGUGUGUCCUUUAAGGACGUGCGUAGCGAAGCUAACGCGCUAAGUAGACCGCCCUGGG